CAGUUUACACAGGUUGUUCUACAGUGUGGAUUUCUUCUUGGUGGUAUUUUAUUCGGAAUUAUAGCCGAUAAACAUGGUAGAAAAACUCCACUCAUGGUUUCCAUAGUAAUACAAGCAUUGAUGAGCUACGCUGCGAGUUUUGCGCCUUCUUACUGGAAGUUCCUCGUUUGCAGAUUUAUUGUGGCAUUAGCUUCUGGGGGUGUAGGGAUUAUAGCGUUUGUCUUAGUAAUCGAAGUUGUCGGUGGUAAAUGGCGCACGAUAAUUCCCGUCCUCUAUCAGUUGCCGUUCGGACUGGGUAAUCCCGUGAUGACAGUACUGGCAUAUUGGCUCAGAGAAUGGAGAAAGCUACAGAUUGCAUUGUCGACAUUAUCUGCAUUAUUCAUAUUGUAUUGGUUUUGGAUAUCUGAAUCGCCGAGGUGGUUACUGGCGACAGGAAAAACAGAGGAAGCUUACGACGUACUGGAAAAAGCAGCCCGUAUGAAUGGAAGACCAUUCAACAAGAGCAAAAUCAAGGCAAUGUUAGACAAUGUUGAGGGACGUCCAGAUGGCGUUCCAAGUUUCAUGGAUUUCCUUAAACUGAAGAACAUGAGAAUGAGAACUGUGAUGCUGUCAAUUCUUUGCCCAAUACCUUGGCUGGAUUGGAGAUAACAUUUUCUUAUCUGUAAUGCUAACCGGGUUAAUUUCUUCCAUCGGCCCGAUCAUCUGUGUUUUCGUAAUUAUGAAGAUGGGACGAAAGCUAACUUUGGCGAUUUUUGAAGGGUUAACGGCUCUCUGCUUUGUAUUCAUAAUUUUGAUACCACGAGAUGUGUUUCCGAAUGACUGGCCAAGAAUUAUUUUUGCUGGAAUUGGAUUUGGAGGCUUGGCAGGAACAGUUCCGGUUCUGUACCUCUUCUCGGGUGAACUGUAUCCAACAUUAGGGCGAAACGUAGGAGUAAGCGGGGUUUCAACCUUCGCCCGGAUAGGCUCAAUGGUGGCACCAACGGUGGUCGGCCUUAACGAAUUGCUUCCAGAUUUACCCUUGUAUUUAAUGGCUGUCGCAUUAUUUUUCCAAAUCCUGGUGAUAUUACCGUUGCCUGAAACCAAGGACCGUCCGUUGCCUGACACCUUGGAACAGGCUGAACAGCUUGGUCAGACGUAAAAACUUGACAUUGCGAGAAGUACGGCUCCCAUUUUGCCGAAAC